AAAGGAAUAGACGGGGGCCCGCACAAGCGGCGGAGCAUGCGGAUUAAUUCGAUGCAACGCGAAGAACCUUACCUGGGUUUGACAUAGGAAGUAAUCCUCCAGAGAUGGGGGGUCCGUAAGGGCUUUCUACAGGUGGUGCAUGGCUGUCGUCAGCUCGUGUCGUGAGAUGUUGGGUUAAGUCCCGCAACGAGCGCAACCCUUGUCGCAUGUUGCCAGCACGCUCCUUUGGGGGUGGUGGGGACUCAUGUGAGACUGCCGGGGUCAACUCGGAGGAAGGUGGGGAUGACGUCAAGUCAUCAUGCCCCUUAUGUCCAGGGCUUCACGCAUGCUACAAUGGCCGGUACAGACCGUGGCGAUCCUGUGAGGGGGAGCGAAUCGGAAAAAGCCGGUCUCAGUUCGGAUUGGGGUCUGCAACUCGACCCCAUGAAGUCGGAGUCGCUAGUAAUCGCAGAUCAGCAACGCUGCGGUGAAUACGUUCCCGGGCCUUGUACACACCGCCCGU
rnacentral:rRNA from 1 species